rnacentral:rRNA from 1 species
UACGGGGGGUGCAAGCGUUGUUCGGAUUCACUGGGCGUAAAGCGUGUGUAGGCGGUCAACCAAGCCAGGUGUGAAAUCCUGCAGCUUAACUGUAGAACUGCAUUUGGAACUGGUUGACUGGAGCGCGGUAGAGGGAAGGGGAAUGACCGGUGUAGAGGUGAAAUUCGUAGAUAUCGGUUGGAACACCUGUGGCGAAGGCGCCUUCCUGGGCCGUUGCUGACGCUGAGACACGAAAGCGUGGGGAGCAAACAGG